GCAGUCGAACGGUGAUAGCAAUAUCAUAGUGACGCACGGGUGCGUAACACGUAUGCAACCUACCUAUUAUUGGGGGAUAGCCUUUGGAAACGGAGAUUAAUACCGCAUAAUACGAUUGACUGGCAUCGGUUGAUUGUUAAAGCUUAGGCGAUAAUAGACGGGCAUGCGUCCAAUUAGUUAGUUGGUUAGGUAACGGCUGACCAAGACGAUGAUUGGUAGGGGAUCUGAGAGGAUAAUCCCCCACACUGGCACUGAGAUACGGGCCAGACUCCUACGGGAGGCAGCAGUAGGGAAUAUUGGGCAAUGGGCGGAAGCCUGACCCAGCCAUGCCGCGUGCAGGAAGAAGGCGUUAUGCGUUGUAAACUGCUUUUUUAUAGGAAGAAGGAUCCCUUGCGAGGGAAGGUGACGGUACUAUAAGAAUAAGCACCGGCUAACUCCGUGCCAGCAGCCGCGGUAAUACGGAGGGUGCAAGCGUUGUCCGGAUUUAUUGGGUUUAAAGGGUGCGUAGGCGGUUUAUUAAGUCAGUGGUGAAAGACGGUCGCUCAACGAUUGUAGUGCCAUUGAUACUGGUAGACUUGAGUGAGAUUGAGGUAGCUGGAAUGGAAGNUGUAGCGGUGAAAUGCAUAGAUAUUAUCCAGAACACCGAUUGCGAAGGCAGGUUACUAAGUCUUAACUGACGCUGAGGCACGAA
rnacentral:rRNA from 1 species